rnacentral:rRNA from 1 species
UGAUACUUAAUAUAAUAAAAACAAAGUUGCUGAUUAAAAUUUACAAAUACUUAAUCUAAUAAAGAAAACAAAACAAAUAGAAAUAAAAAUAAAAAGAAAAAAGAAAAUCUGAAAGUCUCCAGAUUUUCAAUUAUGUCCAAAGGGGCGUUUUUUUAACAUUUUCUAUGUUACCUUUAUUUAUUAAAUAUCAUGUUCUUCGUACUUAAACCAUGAAAUUCAGUUAAAGAACAACAUCGCGAAAUAAUUUUAAACUGAGCAUAUUUUUAGAAUUUCCUGUAGACUGGAGAUAAAAAGGUUUUACAGUGUUGCCAUUGCUCACUUUGAAAUCGUUGAGUUUGUUAAUAAAAAAUUCUUUAAAGGUUUACAAAAAAUGAAAUCGAUAAUUAAACAAAUUCCAAAUUUCAAAUUUGGGCUUCCAGAUAACCAUAUUGGCAGCAGGAGUACGUCAUUCAAAAUUCGAUGGCUCUAAGUACCGUCGUUUUAGCACAGUGCGAGAAACAUGCAUAUAUUUAACCACAUUCUUCUUUAUUUAAUUUCUUUAAAUAUAAUACAGGGCUGUAAUUGAGUUCGUAAAAGCACCGCGGCUCUUGCGGUGUCCGGUACGCUCCUGUCGACCCUUGCAAAUCCGAGGGAGAGAUUAUGAUUUUCGUGCCAGACCGUACCCAUUUCCGCAGCAGGUCUCCAAGGUGAACAGCCUCUAGUCGAUAGAACAAUGUAGGUAAGGGAAGUCGGCAAGUUCGAUCCGUAACUUCGGGACAAGGAUUGGCUCUGAGGACUGGGCCCGUCGGGCUGGGGUCCGAAGCGGGUGUGGCACUGCACCGGGACUGGGCGAGACUGGCCGUGAAAGCGGUCCGGUCCGGCCCGGACCAGCGUCGGGGCCUUCCCGUGGAAUGCCUCAGCUGCGCGGCGCACCGGGCACAAAGCUCGAAGCGACCGUUUCGGCGGGCAACUAACAGCCGACUCAGAACUGGCACGGACUAAGGGAAUCCGACAGGGCUGUAAUAUUUGGUGGCAACAGUUUGAAAAAUGAACCGACAUUUAAUGUUUCCGACGCAAAAUCGCAAAACGAAAACAAUAGCCCUUCAGGAACAAAGUCCCUUUGGGCUAAAAAGAAAGUAAAUAAAUAAAAAUAAAAUAAAUAAAAUGAAUAAAUAAAUGUAAGUAUAAAUAAAUAAAUAAAUAAAUAUAUAAAAAGGUUUAUACAACUAUUACUUAGCUAGUUGGUGAAUAUGAAUAUCGCUGUGCCUACGUGAAUCAUAGUUAUUUAAUUUGGCUCUCAUUUUUGAUUGCUGUGCUGGUGGAUCAGU